rnacentral:misc_RNA from 1 species
ACCUUGUUUUCCUCCAAUGUUGGCGUGUGAUGUGAGUUUUCUAAACUUCGGAGCAGAAUCGAGGAUAUUUCACUGAAACGGGCUUUUAGUUUACUGUUUAACGAUACCGUCAGUAGGAGUUGGUGAAAUUUUCACUUUUGGUGCUACUGCUGCUCUCGCUUGGGAACUACCAAGUGAACCAGAAGAUUUACUUCUGAAGCAUUUCAAGAAAACCACUACAGAACCACCGACAACACCGCAUCAUCACUAUAUCGAACAUGACGAUACAUUUUUCACAGACCAUCAUCCUUCAAAAAGAAUAGAUGACUCCUCCAAUUACUUUCCAGAUGGCUGGCCGGACGAAAACAAGGGAUUUCCUGGAUCUGUCAAGAGUUAUUAUAACCCGUUUCUCGUAAAAAAAUUACCGGUUUAUGGAUACUCCCCUGCAUUCACUCCCGGUAUAUCGCAAUAUAAAGAGAGGAAGACGGCAAAUGGAAAGUCUUCAUAUUACAGGGAAAACAGUGGUUUUGGAAACGAACCCUUUCCAAACUAUGUCCAUCCCGUAUAUCAUGAUAUCCACAGAAGAACCAGACGUGAUUUGUAUGGAAAAAUCGAGAAAUUGUUCACAGCGUUAAGUAAAGAUGGCAGAGCGUGUAUAAUGAAAGCAAUAUGUGAAGUUAGUCAAGUACCUGAAGGAAAAGGCACACUGAUGGAAGAAAUUAUGAAAGCAAUUUUCAGGAUCAAACCACAUGAGGAAUAUACAGACGAAGAUGAUUACGACAGAGCUGCAAAUAAAAAUCAUGAUUGUAAUGCACAAUACCCCUCUUGUGAGAAUUCUGUGUGGACAAAUAUGUUUUGAAGACAAUAAAUAUAGCUGUUAGAUA